AUGAACGCUAGCUACAGGCUUAACACAUGCAAGUCGAGGGGCAGCAUGGUCUUAGCUUGCUAAGACUGAUGGCGACCGGCGCACGGGUGAGUAACACGUAUCCAACCUGCCGUCUACUCUUGGACAGCCUUCUGAAAGGAAGAUUAAUACAAGAUGGCAUCAUGAGUCCGCAUGUUCACAUGAUUAAAGGUAUUCCGGUAGACGAUGGGGAUGCGUUCCAUUAGAUAGUAGGCGGGGUAACGGCCCACCUAGUCUUCGAUGGAUAGGGGUUCUGAGAGGAAGGUCCCCCACAUUGGAACUGAGACACGGUCCAAACUCCUACGGGAGGCAGCAGUGAGGAAUAUUGGUCAAUGGGCGAGAGCCUGAACCAGCCAAGUAGCGUGAAGGAUGACUGCCCUAUGGGUUGUAAACUUCUUUUAUAAAGGAAUAAAGUCGGGUAUGCAUACCCGUUUGCAUGUACUUUAUGAAUAAGGAUCGGCUAACUCCGUGCCAGCAGCCGCGGUAAUACGGAGGAUCCGAGCGUUAUCCGGAUUUAUUGGGUUUAAAGGGAGCGUAGAUGGAUGUUUAAGUCAGUUGUGAAAGUUUGCGGCUCAACCGUAAAAUUGCAGUUGAUACUGGAUAUCUUGAGUGCAGUUGAGGCAGGCGGAAUUCGUGGUGUAGCGGUGAAAUGCUUAGAUAUCACGAAGAACUCCGAUUGCGAAGGCAGCCUGCUAAGCUGCAACUGACAUUGAGGCUCGAAAGUGUGGGUAUCAAACAGGAUUAGAUACCCUGGUAGUCCACACGGUAAACGAUGAAUACUCGCUGUUUGCGAUAUACGGCAAGCGGCCAAGCGAAAGCGUUAAGUAUUCCACCUGGGGAGUACGCCGGCAACGGUGAAACUCAAAGGAAUUGACGGGGGCCCGCACAAGCGGAGGAACAUGUGGUUUAAUUCGAUGAUACGCGAGGAACCUUACCCGGGCUUAAAUUGCAGAUGAAUUACGGUGAAAGCCGUAAGCCGCAAGGCAUCUGUGAAGGUGCUGCAUGGUUGUCGUCAGCUCGUGCCGUGAGGUGUCGGCUUAAGUGCCAUAACGAGCGCAACCCUUGUUGUCAGUUACUAACAGGUUCCGCUGAGGACUCUGACAAGACUGCCAUCGUAAGAUGUGAGGAAGGUGGGGAUGACGUCAAAUCAGCACGGCCCUUACGUCCGGGGCUACACACGUGUUACAAUGGGGGGUACAGAGGGCCGCUACCACGCGAGUGGAUGCCAAUCCCAAAAACCUCUCUCAGUUCGGACUGGAGUCUGCAACCCGACUCCACGAAGCUGGAUUCGCUAGUAAUCGCGCAUCAGCCACGGCGCGGUGAAUACGUUCCCGGGCCUUGUACACACCGCCCGUCAAGCCAUGGGAGCCGGGGGUACCUGAAGUGCGUAACCGCGAGGAGCGCCCUAGGGUAAAACUGGUGACUGGGGCU
rnacentral:rRNA from 1 species